CAGUAGCCACGGUAAUACGGAGGGUGCAAGCGUUAAUCGGAAUUACUGGGCGUAAAGCGCACGCAGGCGGUCUGACAAGUCAGAUGUGAAAUCCCCGGGCUUAACCUGGGAACUGCAUUUGAGACUGUCAGGCUGGAGUCUUGUAGAGGGGGGUGGAAUUCCAGGUGUAGCGGUGAAAUGCGUAGAGAUCUGGAGGAAUACCGGUGGCGAAGGCGGCCCCCUGGACAAAGACUGACGCUCAGGUGCGAAAGCGUGGGGAGCAAACAGGAUUAGAUACCCGCGUAGUCCCUGUCUCUUAUAA
rnacentral:rRNA from 1 species